UGGAGCUAUAUACAGGAAGUACCAGAUCAAUGUGGAGCUAUAUACAGGAAGUACCAGAUCAAUGUGGAGCUAUAGACAGGAAGUACUAGAUCAAUGUGGAGCUAUAGACAGGAAGUAGCACUACCAGAUCAAUGUGGAGCUAUAUACAGGAAGUAGCACUACCAGAUCAAUGUGGAGCUAUAUACAGGGAGUACCAGUACCAGAUCAAUGUGGAGCUAUAUACAGGAAGUACCAGAUCAAUGUGGAGCUAUAUACAGGAAGUACCAGAUCAAUGUGGAGCUAUAUACAGGAAGUACCAGAUCAAUGUGGAGCUAUAUACAGGAAUUACCAGAUCAAUGUGGAUCUAAACUCAGCAAAAAAAUAAACGUCCUCUCACUGUCAACUGCAUUUAUUUUCAGCAAUCUUAACAUGUGUGAAUAUUUGUAGGAACAUAAGAUUCAACAACUGAGACAUAAACUGAACAAGUUCCACAGACAUGUGAUUAACAGAAAUGGAAUAAUGUGUCCCUGAACGAAGGAAGGGGGUUAAAAUCAAAAGUAACCAUCAGUAUCUGGUGUGGCCACCAGCUGCAUUAAGUACUACAGUGCAUCUCCUCCUCAUGAGAUUACCCCCGGACCUGCCUUACAACAGGCCUCCAAGCCCUCAGUCCAGCCUCUCCCAGCCUAUUACAGGGAGGUACCACUACCAAGCUAAAGUAGGCUCUCUUUUCUGAAAAAAAAAAAGUUGAAAGGAGACUCGCGGUGUAACGAGCACUAUGGUGAGAGCAUUGAACCCUGUUCUUUUUUUUUAAAGGAGAUUUAUGAUGAGGGCUUUAACGUUACCUGGUAACCACGGAGACAGAUCACUGUGAGGGUUUAAUAAGAUCUCUCUCACACAGCUGUCUUUUUAAAAACCAAUCCUUUGCCGAUCUCACCGUAGUAAGAAAAGGACCUUCUGCUUUAUUCAAAGUGUUCUCCUCGACUUCUGGAAUUGUUCCCCCGUCCUCUCCUCUGUCAGUUUAAUUGUCGGGUGGUGAAUAUAUUGCCCUCCUGCCUGGCAGCCUCACUGAGAAACAUUCACUCUAAUCUUUCCUGACGAGUCUCUGGUGAUUCAUAUGACUCAAGAUGAGUCAGUGGACGUUGCUGGGAUGCAGAACCAAAUGGCACCCUCUUCCCAAUGGGCCCUGGUCUAAAGUAGUGCACUAUGUAGGGAAUAGGGUUCUGGUCUAUAGUAGUGCACUAUGUAGGGAAUAGGGCCCUGGUCUAAAGUAGUGCACUAUAUAGGGAAUAGGGCCCUGGUCUAAAGUAGUGCACUAUAUAGGGAAUAGGGCCCUGGUCUAAAGUAGUGCACUAUGUAGGGAAUAGGGCCCUGGUCUAAAGUAGUGCAUUAUAUAGUGAAUAGGGCCCUGGUCUAAAGUAGUGCACUAUAUAGGGAAUAGGGCUCUGGUCUAAAGUAGUGCUCUAUAUAGGGAAUAGGGUUCCAUUUGGGACUGUGAUGGUAGACUGUGAUGGUAGAAGAGUUCUGUAUGUUCAUGACUCUCAUUAAAGAUGAAUAUAUUUGGGGUUAUUAUUAUGUUACACGUGUGUGUGUGUGUGUGUGUGUGUGUGUGUGUGUGUGUGUGAGAGAAAGCUUGUUGAAGUAAACAGAUGAGUUGACUCACCCACAGCACAGCCUUGAGGGACGGACACACACACCAUGACACACACCGUAACACACACACACACACACACACACACACACACACACACACACACAGCUGCCCAUAAUUAAGUGGGAGGCCAUGCUGUCACAGAGCUCUGCAACGAAACACAGUGUGUUUAAACAUGAAUCAACUGUUAUUAAUAAACACAAUUCAUUUACACUCUCUAAGAUAAUCAACUGUUAUUAAUAAACACAAUUCAUUUACACUCUCUAAGAUAAUCAACUGCUAUUAAUAAACACAAUUCAUUUACACUCUCUAAGAUAAUCAACUGUUAUUAAUAAACACAAUUCAUUUACACUCUCUAAGAUAAUCAACUGUUAUUAAUAAACACAAUUCAUUUACACUCUCUAAGAUAAUCAACUGUUAUUAAUAAACACAAUUAAUU
ensembl:lncRNA